rnacentral:rRNA from 1 species
CCUGACGCAGCGACGCCGCGUGAGGGAUGACGGCCUUCGGGUUGUAAACCUCUUUCAGCAGGGACGAAGCUAACGUGACGGUACCUGCAGAAGAAGCGCCGGCUAACUACGUGCCAGCAGCCGCGGUAAUACGUAGGGCGCAAGCGUUGUCCGGAAUUAUUGGGCGUAAAGAGCUCGUAGGCGGUUUGUCGCGUCUGUCGUGAAAGCCCACGGCUUAACCGUGGGUCUGCGGUGGAUACGGGCAGACUAGAGGCAGGUAGGGGAGAAUGGAAUUCCCGGUGUAGCGGUGAAAUGCGCAGAUAUCGGGAGGAACACCGGUGGCGAAGGCGGUUCUCUGGGCCUGUACUGACGCUGAGGAGCGAAAGCGUGGGGAGCGAACAGGAUUAGAUACCCUGGUAGUCCACGCCGUAAACGUUGGGCGCUAGGUGUGGGGUCCUUCCACGGAUUCCGCGCCGCAGCUAACGCAUUAAGCGCCCCGCCUGGGGAGUACGGCCGCAAGGCUAAAACUCAAAGGAAUUGACGGGGGCCCGCACAAGCGGCGGAGCAUGUUGCUUAAUUCGACGCAACGCGAAGAACCUUACCAAGGCUUGACAUUGCCGGAAAACCAGCAGAGAUGUUGGGUCCUUUUGGGGCCGG